GCAGACACAUUGCAGCCAAUCAGCAGCAGACCCUCCCUCCCAGACCCUUCCACCUCCUGGACAGCAUCCAUUUUACAUUCAUUGUGAAGCUGCAUUCUUAGUGAGCUGUCCAGGAGGUGGGAGGGUCUGGGAGGGAGGGUCUGCUGCUGAUUGGCUGGAAUGUGUCU
rnacentral:miRNA from 1 species